GCUAUGUAUGGUCUGUUAUGGGAAGUUAAAUACAAGCUGGAGUGGGCACAAGGCAAGAUCAACAGAGACUUGGUUAAAAUGCACUUGCAGAAGUGACUUCAGGAGAAGGCCUUCUGCAGCUAACAAGCUCUGUCCCUUUGCGUUUGGACUCUCACAGAGAGGAAAGUGGAUCUCAGACUCCAGCUGGGACAGGUCCCAGGCUCGCUCUUCUUGCACCAAGGAAACAGUGGGCAGGGGAGCUGGCGAAUUCAAACCCUGUCUUGAGCUCUCUCACUUCCAACAUGACCUCUUGCAAGACUAGGUUUCAUGGCACCUGCAUCAGGACCUUCUGCUUCCAACCAGGCUGGACAGCUUCAGGGACAGUGCUCUGAGCCUUUUGGAGCCUCCACUUCGAGGGACAAACAUGUAAGCAAGCUUGCUUCAUCAAGAGAGCACAUUACAAACACUCUGUCUAGUGCAAGCGGAUCCUCUAACUCAAGCGCUGUUUCAUACUCCAUGCUUCAAAGCAUUGACCACCCAGCUAGCAUCAACAACCAGCAAGAAGUGGCUGCUCUGGGAUGGCUGCAUGGCUGAGCAUGGCUAGCUUGGGAAGGUGAUGCUCAUGGCAAGAGCACUGCCAGGAUCUCACCUCAGGAAGCACUUCCUCGAGACCACCUGCUUCAGGGCAGUAUUUUAGCUCCAUAUUCCUCUAACAGGGAUUCUAGGCCUGGGCUUAGUGGCUGUUGAGAACUCUUGAGUCCAAGAGUUCUUACAGAUAUGUUACCACUAUCAUUCAUACUUAAUUGUUGACAUGGUAACAUGCAAAAUGAGCUGAAACUCUUGAAGACAAAGGCUAAUUGGCUCUAAGGUAAAGUGGAUGGGAAUUAGCGGUGGAGGCGUAAGCUAUGGCCCCUUGUGCUUUUCGGUUACAUUUGUUUGUGGCCAUUCCUCCAGCAGCAGGUGGAAAGAGGGACCUGGUUCCUCUUGUCUGCCUCUGCCAUUGUGUCUUCUGAGAAGUUACCUCCAGCACAGUGGCAGAAGUAGACUUUUUGUGAAUGAACACUGUCAGCAGCAGGCUGCAUGUCAGCUCUUCUGAAAACCUCUGUUUUCUAUUAAAUCCUACAGCAAACCUGAUAUAGGUUCCACUCUAUGAUUUCUAUGGGAUGGUCAGAAGAUCCUAGAGGAAUUAUACCAUUCCCUAUCAAAAUCUCUCUGGCUAGCUCCUACAGUACAGUCUUGCAUUACCCUCUUGUUAAAUGACACCGGAUUUUCCCAGACGGUAGAUCGACUACCCCUAAUAUAUUGCACAAAGGAUGUUGCAACCCUGCUAUUAUUAUUCUAGUGCAAAUGCUGAAACUGGUUGAAGAGAAUUUAGAAAUCUGCCCUUCUCUCUUCAGUUCCCCCCCCUCAAAUUACUUCAAAGGUUGGUGAAAUGAAUUUUGCCCAGACAGAUGAAAAGCAGUGUCACAGUGUCUUCUCAUUCCUGCAGGUUUCUGCCGAACAGGGCUAAGGCAAUACACAGGCAAGUGCCUGGAGCAGGACACUGCAAAACCACCACGAGCCUCCCGGUGCUGCAGCUCAGAGUCCAGCUGACACCACCGAGAGGGGCCAAGACAUGUCAGGGCAAUUACUCAUGGCUUGGGCAUGGGUAGUGGUGUGCCCUGUGUGGUGCUGGCAAUACAAAAAAGCUGGCCUGACUUGGUGGUAGAGCUGCUGUCUGGCACCCUGUGGGACCCCUCUCCUCCCUUCCUGCUGCCUGUGGCCAGGAGACAGCUGGGUGUGCUUGGCUCCUGCCCUGGGACAGCAGCACUGGAUGCUGACUACCCUUCCAAUGCAUGCUCUGGUGUAGCUUGGUAGUUACAGUGACAAAAGUCCUCCCUUGGAGAUGAAGGUAAUCUAUUUGGUGCUCAAUCAAGAAAUAAUUAAUCUCUUUGUAUAGGGUAGAAGAUGAAGCUGUAGGAGCCUGAGAUACCUUUGUGCUUAUUUACUUAUUACUGGACCCACACCAGGGACUGGUGCCUCUGAGGCAGCAUUAGGAGACAGGACAAAUUCCCAGAGCUGCUCCCUGCAGAGUGCCCCAGCACUUGAUGUCACCCCUGGCACAGCACCCAAAUUGUUUAACAAUGUCCAUCAGCCCCAAAGAUGUGAGAAGGAUACGGUCCUUAUCCUGAGCCUGAAUUGCAGGACUGCCCUGAGGUGAGAUGCUGUGGUGGGUACAGCAGGAGGGCAAAAUGGAUCUGGUUUAGGAAAGCUACCUGUCUUUAAGGUGAUUUUAAAUGUUCACAUUUUUUAUGCAGCAUUUUGGAACGUUUCAGCUACUCCCAUUUGGAAUUCAGUUCCUCUCCCUGUUAAUCAAUAGCAGGCCUUAACAAAACAAUAUCUCACAGGAGACACAGGCACACAGUGCUGAACAAAGCAAAACAGCCACUGGCUUACAGCAACAAUUGCUGCUACACAAUGGGUUUUCAAAGCUCAGUAUAUAUUUUGUCCCUAGUGGGAAAACCAUAACAAGACUGAAUUAGUGGCUAGGCUUGCCAAAGGGAGAAAUUAAAGUGCGAUGGCUUGUCUGACACCUUGAAGUAGUUUUAUUUAUUUCUGGAGGAGAGGACAGUGUGAGAAAGUAAGGGGCCGCUUAGGGAAAACUAUUUUCUGUUGCUUUCCGAAGUGUGAUGUGGUUCUUCAUGCCUGAGGGCUUGGUCCACGUUGGGGAUCAGUAGUACCUUCUGGUGAGAGGGCUCCUGAGAGGUGCUGGCGAGUAUGGGGAUGCUGCCUGCGGCGCUGGGGAGGCACCGGGGUGGAGGGAGGAGUGUGGCUUUCAAGGGGCGGAUGGGCUGGGAGUCCCUUGUCCCUGCUGGGGGAAACUGGGGGCUGGUUUGCAGGUGGUUGGUUGGAGAAAGAAAAGGGAGAGACUAUGUGAGAGCAAAGCAAAUUCCCUUCCCUGCACAUGGUCACCUCUGAGCUUGCAAACUUAACUGCUCAUCUGUGGAUCUUGACAGCUCCUUGCUCUAGCACUAAUGGGUUUCAGGAGCUCCCAGUGAGCUGUAAUCGCCUUGGUUCAGGGCUCAGCUUGCACCUUUACAAGCACCUUCACCCCUUGCUGUUAACCUGUGGUCUCCUUUAUUCAGCAGCUAAGCUUGUAAAUUCAUGUAACCAAAUAGCUAGCGCUGUUAACUGCCCACACGAAAGUGAACAACACAUCCAUCUUCCAGAGCCCAGCCAGCAGCCUAAUGACACUCCUUGCCGUGCUCACAGGUACCCUUUCAGAUGUAACUAGCUCUGGCCCUGCAAAAACAAUUAUUUCGGCGCUCGCAUAGGACAUGUGGCUCAUCUGGAUGGAGGAGGGAGGCUGCCUGGGCAGAAGGCUUCCCACCAAUGGUCCCCAUGCACCACUGCCCUGUGCCAUCAUUGCCCCAUGCUGUGGUCUGAUAGCUGUCAAGGGAGACCACCCUGCAGGCGAGCUGUGUGUCAUGCCCUGGAGCAGAAGCAUGCUUGCAGUGGUUUUAUUUUGGGUUGUGACCAAUGUUUGAGAAGUCUUUUCGAAAAGCUGUGCCUCAGUUUCCCUGUCCAUAAACUUGAGUGUAAUUUCCUGAAAUAAAGCACCACUGGGAGGACAGCUGCUAAUGAAACACUAAGUGAUGCUGAGGUGUCUGGCCUUUCUUGCCAAAGUCAGUGGCUUGAAUCCUCUAGUCUUGAAAUUAAUCUCUGCAAUAAGAUUGUCUGGAUGCAGAUCUGGUUUCCUACGAAAUGAGGCUCAUGCAGUUGCUCUGUGUGGGGGGGGGAGUAGAUGCAUCAGACCCCUUCCAAGUUGUCCCUAUCAGCUAAUUGCAGCCCAGCAGGGCAGAGAGGUACAGUACUCAUGGACAGUAAAUCCUGUAAGCUCUGAGGAAAUACUCAUUGCAAGCUCUUUCUCCUGCUUCCAGCUCAAGGGAAGCUGGGUUGCAAGUUCACCCUUUACUAGAGACCCCACAUGGGAGCUCAGCUGGGGACACUGCUCACAGGAAACAAGGCUUGGCUGCUUCUGCCGUUGCUUGUGUUACUACUUGUUAUCAAAGGAGAAAAAGUGCAGCUUUCUGUCUGCAAAUAACAUAGACCUGCCAUUGGCAGAGAACUAAUAUGUUCCCUUUCUCACCCCAAAGCAAUCACAAGCAAUCAAAGCUGGGUGUAUGUGAGCUGGCAGGGGUUGAAUGGACAUUGCUUUUCUUUAUUUGCUGGCUGCUUACCUGGUGCAACAGGCAGUCUGGGAGAAUUUCUUAAUUAAACAGGCUCUGGACUGGGUGGCACACAUACGCUGCCAAUGGGCAUUAUAAAAGAGCAGUUAUUGCACUUCAGCUUGGGAAAUGUGCUGGUGUAGUUGUAUUGUUAAGAAAAGUCUUGGAGGAAGGGAGAGAAGGAACCUGGGCCCUGGUCUCCACUCCAAAGACUGUUUGUUGUGUUUAUGUUAAACAUCGCUGGAUCUAACCUCAGUGGAGAGUGGGUGGAGGGCUAAUUUGAGCUGCCUUUGAAAACAAUUUUGAGCAAUGCACAGCAAGAUCUCAGGGAAACAAUGUUUAUAAUCUAUAUCCUGCCUCAAACUGCAUAGGCACUGCACUCUUGCCCCACUGCCAAAAUUAGCAGCAGUCAUCAGGAAGCAGCUGGUGUCUCAAGCAUGAGCCCUUGUGUUCAGCCAUCGCUUGGUAGCUUUUAUAUAGUUAUAUAGAGAGUUUUUCCUGGUUAUUGAGCAUCACCUACUCUUCACCUUUGCAGUGGCAGCAGGAAACCUCUCGUAUGUGGAGCCUGAUCCAGUGUCCUUAAUCGUGCGUGGUUCCCGCUGAUUUUAGCAGGAGACUUGCUUUGUGGUGCGCAGGAGAAAUGUGUCCCUCAAGGAGUGGACUGUCUUCUGUCCUCCCUGAAAGAGGGUGGGGAAUCCAGUGCUUUGCUGUCUGUCUGCCUGUACAUCAUCAAAAGCGUACAGGCUAUGAUACACAGUCCUUAGAUUUAAAUAGCAUUAAAAUUUAGAUUUCAAUAUUAGGGAUUUUGCCAAGCUAGGUAAUACUGAGUUGAGAGUGUUUGUCAAUUAGCCUUCCCAACCAUUAAAUCCAGGUUGCUUUCAGUUUUUAAUUGACUCUGCAUAAAUUAGUGCACCCCUUCCUUUAGUCUUUUUGAAGAUGAGUAGCCGCUUCUCGCUCCAGUCUGGGCUUGGGAAUAUUUGAGAAGUGGCAGUGUGUUAAUUUCUGCCCCAGAAGAACUUUGCAGGAGAAACAGCUCUUUCAGUUGUUCGGUGGCCACAAUACAUUUGAAAGACUUGGUGUCAGGGUGUUUUGUAAUGAUUUAAAAUAUUAAAUAACGCAAACUAACAGAAAUAAGGCAAAAUACAUAACUUGGGGGAGGGGUUGGAGGCAAUCCUGUGCUGUCCCUUUAGCUCUUGCAGUUUUUACUCUGAUAAACAAGCUUCGCUUUCCAGAAGGUUGAGACCUUUGUCCUGUCUUUGUGACUGUUUUACUCCCAUUUUGUCCAGGGUAGGGAGGAAUAAAUAAUUUUGGCUUUCCUGCUGUUUCUGCAUCUCCGAUGGCUUCUUCACCAGGAAAGAGGAGAGAAACAAUGUGGAGACCCUGCUCAUUCUUUACUAUUUUCCCUUUUCUUUCUCAUCACCAAAAGACAGAAGAGGGAAAUGACGGCAGGCACUCAAAUAUCCACUCAUCUUUUUCAAUUCAGCUCUUUAACUGCUUUUGUUAUCCAGUGGCACGAUGGUCUUUGGCUCAUUAUGUACUGGCUUUUUAAUUUAAAUGUAUCCCCAUUAGGGAGCCAAAAGAUCCAGUCUUAGAGUUCUUUCAUAUGAUUUGUCUAACCACCCUCUAAAUUAUUUGUCAUGGCUGUGAACCUCUGGAGAUUUUUUUUUCUUUUUUCUUUUUUCUUUUUUUUUUUUUUCUUUUAAGCACUAUAAUUUGAUCCAAAACAUCUGUAAGAAAUCACAACUGACCUCCCAUCUGGGCAACAGCUCAGCUGUGUCCUAAGGCUGGGUAGCGUCAAGUGUGUGAGCUCUGUUUCAAAAGCCUAAAGUUCCUGACAUGGUGAAAUUCCUUUCUUACAUGUUUGUUGACAGAAGGCGGGCAGGGCAGGGAAGGGAAAGGAAGGGAAGGGAAAGGAAGGGAAGGCAGGAUCAAGAUGCUGUGCCGCUAGGCCAGAAGUGAGUGGAACAUCUUGUUACGGAAAUGGCCUCAGAAAUGCUCCUCCCUGCAUUAGAAAAUUAGCUAUUUAAAGCAGGAUCGAUUGCUAGUCUUCUUUGCCACUGUUGUCAUUUGGCUCUGUCAUGUGUAAAUAAUAUUUUCUCAUGAAAGAAAACUUCGAGUAAUGACAGUGCUCCUCUGGCCACGUCCUGUUCCAAAAGGGAGGAAUCAGCUCAUCCCUGGAAAUGGUGUCUCCCUCUGAAGGAAAAUCUAGGACCUGUGUUUUGUUUUUCUCUAAAACUUUAGAUGAGUAAAUUUCGAGCCCCAAAUGCCAUCAGAGUGGUACAAAUGCAUCCCAAUAUCUAAGAUGCAUUUGAGCACUGGAAUUACAUAGGACAGUACUCAUGUGAAGGCAAAAAUAUGUGGAGAAAAACAAAAAAACUAUGUGACUUAGAGCAAAACCCACUUUCCCACAAGAUCUGUAUCAUCAAAGUAGCAAUACGUGCUUUAAAGGAGUUCUUCAAAACAGAUUGCUUUACUUUUACCAGUGUCAGUGAGCAAAAAUCCUUUUAUUCUUGGCUCAUCACAGUUCCCAACCUCUCAUAGGGUGAGGUCACAUCUUUCAAAAAAACUGGAGUUAUCAAACACACAGAAAUGAAAACUCGCCCCUCUGUGUUUUGUUAGCUAUGUUCUGCUUAUGUUUUUUCCUUUCUCCCUCUUAAUUUUUGAUUUUCCAGGGAGAUUAACCCACACCCGGCUUAAGCACCCUCAAACCUUCCUGAAGUUGAGAUGCACAUCUGGAUCCCAGAUCUACAGCUCAAGCCCAUCGCUGUUUGUUAUUGUUUGCAUUGCUUCAGGCCCUGCUUAGGGAUUGUACAAAGUGUUCUUUAAAAAAAAAUAAAUAUUGAAAUGUCCACACAGCAUUUGAGAGAAGCACACUUCUGUAAGGUGCUGGUGCUUGAUCGUUACAGAAGCACAGAAAAGAAUCUCUGGGGGUCAUGUAGGGCAUUGGGGCUUCUGAAAAAAAAAUAUUUUUACAAUAUUAGGGGCUUGGAGUCAUCCACAUUUCCAUGAAAGCCCCUGUACCAAGUGAAGGGAGAGCCUCUGAAGAGUGUUCAAAUGUCUUGUGUACGGAAAGUUAAAGAACUCACUUGGCACAGGGAUUGGAGGAGAUCUAGGCCAGCUGAACGUGGCUUUUAAAGGCUGGGAUUUCUUCUCAUGCUGACUAAUAAGUCCUAACAGAGAAAGAAUUGUUGAACAAACCUGUUGCUGAUUCUUGAAGGUUGAGGAGAAGCAGUAGAGCUGCUGGAGAUGCCAGAGGUACGGAUCAUCUUGUCUGUCUUAUACUUAUCCCCCUGCCCCCAAACUCCUUGUUUUAUUUUUAUUGGGAUUUUUGUCUGAUGAACCCUAUUAAACACAUCACUAGCAUUGAGAUUUGCCAAUUCCAAUAAACCCAUCUGCUUUAUUAACUAA